UACGGAGGGUGCGAGCGUUGUCCGGAAUCAUUGGGCGUAAAGGGCGCGUAGGUGGCGCGACACGCGUGCGGUGAAAGCUCGGGGCUCAACCCCGAGUCGGCCGUGCGAACUGUUGUGCUUGAGCACUGUAGAGGCAGGCGGAAUUCCGGGUGUAGCGGUGGAAUGCGUAGAGAUCCGGAAGAACACCGGUGGCGAAGGCGGCCUGCUGGGCAGUAGCUGACACUGAGGCGCGACAGCGUGGGGAGCAAACAGG
rnacentral:rRNA from 1 species